AUCUUAUGAUAUUUUCAACGGAAAGAGGAUUUGAUCCUAAGAUUACCAGCAGGUGGGUGGGCAUUGCUUCCGCGAUCAUCUUCUUCAUUCUGUUAGGGUUUUCCAAGUUUCACUUUCCCUUCGUUUCUUCCCACUCACCACAUUUUCAAUGCGUUUCCGAAACCGAUAAUUGACCCUAUUCAACACAAAAUCGCACUUCCUCCGUAGUUUUGUUUCGCUAACUCCCGAAAUCGAAAGUUUCAUCGACACACUGGAGAUGGCCAGAAAAAUCACUAACUGUGCCAUAUGCGAGAAUUCGAAUCAAGCUUCCAUAUGUUCUAUAUGUGUCAACUACAGGUUGAAUGAGUAUAAUACUUCCUUAAAAUCACUGAAGGACCGUCGAGAUUCGUUGUACUCAAAAUUGAGCGAUGUUCUUGUUCGUAAGUUCAAGUAAUUCUUUUGCGUGUAAUGUCGAUAAGGGAAAGGGAGAUGAUCAAGCAAAUUGGAGGAUGCUUCAACAUGAAAAGCUUGCAAGGUUGAAGGAGAAGCUUCUUCAUAGUAAAGAACAAGUUACUCAAGGAAGAGCUAAGAUAGAGACUAUGUCUGCGGAUCUGAAAAUUAAAUAUGGGUUGCUUGAAUCUGCCCAUUCUACGUUGGAAAAGAAUCGAGUGGAACAAUUGGAGAAGUUCUACCCUAAUCUUAUAUGCACCCAGAGCUUAGGGCAUGUGGCGAUUACCUCUGAGCGUCUUCAUAAACAGUCUGUGGUCAUAAAACAGAUUUGCAAGUUGUUCCCUCAACGCCGGGUGGUCAUAGAAGAAGAGAGAAGGGAUGGUUGCAGUGGUCAUUAUGAUCAAAUUUGCAAUGCACGAUUACCCAGAGCUCUUGAUCCCCACUCCGUUCCAUCAGAAGAGCUUUCUGCUUCUUUGGGAUACAUGGUGCAACUUCUAAAUCUUAUUGUUCACAACUUGGCUGCCCCAGCACUUCAUAACUCAGGUUUUGCGGGUUCUUGCUCUCGGAUAUGGCAACGCGAUUCUUAUUGGGAUGCACGUCCUUCCUCAAGGAGCAAUGAAUAUCCCCUUUUUAUACCUCGCCAAAAUUAUUGCUCUACUAGUGGAGAAAACUCAUGGUCUGAUAGAAGCUCAAGCAAUUUUGGAGUUGCUUCAAUGGAAUCUGAGAGGAGGCAUCACCUAGAUUCAUCUGGGAGUUCUAGCUUUAACUAUUCUUUAGCGUCUUCACAUUCUGUUCAAACACACAAGGAUUUGCAGAAGGGAAUUUCACUUUUAAAGAAAAGUGUAGCAUGCAUCACUGCUUACUGUUACAACUCCCUAUGUUUGGAUGUCCCUUCUGAGGCAUCUACAUUUGAGGCAUUUUCAAAGUUAUUGGCUACACUCUCAUCAUCCAAGGAAGUUCGAUCUGUGUUUUCCUUGAAAAUGGCUCGCUCUAGGACUUGCAAGCAAGUUCAACAAUUGAACAAAUCUAUAUGGAAUAUGAAUUCUGCUAUUUCGUCAACUACUUUGCUGGAAAGUGCACAUUCUAUGCCCACAACGAGAAUUGAAAAUUAUCUGCCAAGUUCUACUGCUAGUUUUCUUUACGCCACUGAUUUAUCUGACGGCAAAAAUGAGUGCCUAAUUGAAGGGUGGGAUAUUGUUGAGCAUCCCACUUUUCCUCCCCCACCAUCGCAAAGUGAGGAUGUUGAGCACUGGACUCGAGCCAUGUUCAUAGAUGCUAAAAGGAAGUGAUCUUCAUCUGCAACAGACUUCCAGUUUCUGUUCAACACUGGUGGAUUCAAAUUAAUAAAAAGAUUGAUCUUGGCCUGAGUUUUAUCUGCACAUGCACCUGAGCCAUUUGAUUAAAUUUUUGAACUGAAGAAAGCUGCCAGCUUAUGUUUUACCAGUUGAAGAAAAUGAUGUUUUCCCCUUCCAGGUAGCAGGGAGCGAAAGCCAACAUUAGAUUCUUCAGGGAUUAAUUUGUAAACUAAUUGGAAUAUUAUCGUUCCCCUCUUUUUUGUAAAUAUAGAUUAUAGACUAAUGAUAAUUGUGUAAAUAUUUAUAGGCAAUGUUCAUUGAAUUCUUAAACGCGCCAACAUCUCAUCAAUAAUAACUGAUUCAAUCUGUA